GACGAGGGAUCCUAGCGUUGUUCGGAAUCAUUGGGCGUAAAGCGGAUGUAGGUGGCUUUGUAAGUCAGGUGUGAAGGCCCCGGGCUCAACCCGGGAAGUGCAUUUGAUACUGCGAAGCUUGAGUGCUGGAGAGGUUACUAGAAUACCUGGUGUAGUGGUGAAAUACGUAGAUAUCAGGUGGAAUACCGGAGGCGAAGGCGGGUAACCAGCCAGACACUGACACUCAGAUCCGAAAGUGUGGGGAUCAAACAGG
rnacentral:rRNA from 1 species